GACGAACGCUGGCGGCGUGCUUAACACAUGCAAGUCGAACGAAGAGCGAUGGAAGCUUGCUUCUAUCAAUCUUAGUGGCGAACGGGUGAGUAACGCGUAAUCAACCUGCCCUUCAGAGGGGGACAACAGUUGGAAACGACUGCUAAUACCGCAUACGAUCUGACCUCGGCAUCGAGGAUAGAUGAAAGGUGGCCUCUAUUUAUAAGCUAUCACUGAAGGAGGGGAUUGCGUCUGAUUAGCUAGUUGGAGGGGUAACGGCCCACCAAGGCGAUGAUCAGUAGCCGGUCUGAGAGGAUGAACGGCCACAUUGGGACUGAGACACGGCCCAGACUCCUACGGGAGGCAGCAGUGGGGAAUCUUCCGCAAUGGACGAAAGUCUGACGGAGCAACGCCGCGUGAGUGAUGACGGCCUUCGGGUUGUAAAGCUCUGUUAAUCGGGACGAAAGGCCUUCUUGCGAAUAGUUAGAAGGAUUGACGGACCGAAUAGAAAGCCACG
rnacentral:rRNA from 1 species